rnacentral:rRNA from 1 species
AUUGAACGCUGGCGGCAGGCCUAACACAUGCAAGUCGAACGGUAACAGGAAGCAGCUUGCUGCUUCGCUGACGAGUGGCGGACGGGUGAGUAAUGUCUGGGAAACUGCCUGAUGGAGGGGGAUAACUACUGGAAACGGUAGCUAAUACCGCAUAACGUCGCAAGACCAAAGAGGGGGACCUUAGGGCCUCUUGCCAUCGGAUGUGCCCAGAUGGGAUUAGCUAGUAGGUGGGGUAACGGCUCACCUAGGCGACGAUCCCUAGCUGGUCUGAGAGGAUGACCAGCCACACUGGAACUGAGACACGGUCCAGACUCCUACGGGAGGCAGAAGUGGGGAAUAUUGCACAAUGGGCGCAAGCCUGAUGCAGCCAUGCCGCGUGUAUGAAGAAGGCCUUCGGGUUGUAAAGUACUUUCAGCGGGGAGGAAGGGAGUAAAGUUAAUACCUUUGCUCAUUGACGUUACCCGCAGAAGAAGCACCGGCUAACUCCGUG